AUUGAACGCUGGCGGCAGGCCUAACACAUGCAAGUCGAACGAGUGGCGGACGGGUGAGUAAUGUCUGGGAAACUGCCCGAUGGAGGGGGAUAACUACUGGAAACGGGAGCUAAUACCGCAUACCAUCGGAUGUGCCCAGAUGGGAUGAGCUUGUAGGUGAGGUAACGGCUCACCUAGGCGACGAUCCCUAGCUGGUAUGAGAGGAUGACCAGCCACACUGGAAAUUGGACACUGUCCAGACUCCUACGGGAGGCAUCAGUGGGGAAUAUUGCCCAAUGGGCGCAAGCCUGAUGCAGCCAUGCCGCGUGUAUGACGAAGGCCUUCGGGUUUUAAAGUUCUUUCAUCGGGUCGGCGUUACCCGCAGAAGAAGCACCGGCUAACUCCGUGCCAGCAGCCGCGGUAAUUC
rnacentral:rRNA from 1 species